rnacentral:rRNA from 1 species
CAGUCGCCACGGUAAUACAGAGGGUGCGAGCGUUAAUCGGAUUUACUGGGCGUAAAGCGUGCGUAGGCGGCUUCUCAAGUCGGAUGUGAAAUCCCUGAGCUUAACUUAGGAAUUGCAUUCGAUACUGGGAAGCUAGAGUAUGGGAGAGGAUGGUAGAAUUCCAGGUGUAGCGGUGAAAUGCGUAGAGAUCUGGAGGAAUACCGAUGGCGAAGGCAGCCAUCUGGCCUAAUACUGACGCUGAGGUACGAAAGCAUGGGGAGCAAACAGGAUUAGAUACCCCUGUAGUCCCUGUCUCUUAUAC